ensembl:lncRNA
AAUUGUGGCUGGACAAGGUUCGCAUGUCCUCCAGCUGCACAGAGCCUGAACAAUGAGAUGCUUGACCCAGCUCUCUUCCAGAGUCUUAGACCAGCUGUGUCUAGCUGGAGCUGAACUGGUUGAGACUGGAUAGGACCACUGACCCUCCAUCUGGGCACGUGCGAGUGUCCCGCAGCUUGGUGACCUUUUGACUUCAAAGGGUGGAAAACUUCACCGUAAGACUGCGCCAAGUACCUCCCUUCUUAAGGUGCACAGGCCUGUGGCUGAGCUGCGCCUGCGCAGAAUGAGGAGGCCCCCCCACCUGCUUCCCAUUACCUUUCCCGCAAUCCCUGUGCUCCCUGAACCUGUGAGGCCAGCUCAUCCAGGAACACCCUAGCCCCUUUCUUCUGGGAGCUGCACCUGAGACUUUGUUCUCUUUCUGCAUUAAGCUGCCUUGUCCACAAGUCCCAUCUCAGAGCAUGGGGGCUCAGUGUUCAGCCUGCUGGGUGUCGGACAAAAACAAACUUUGUUCCUUAACGUUAAUCCUUGACUCACCUGCAGUUGCCCUGGUCAGCAGGUAAAGAAUUCGCCGGCAACGCAGGAGACACAAAAAGACGUGGUUUCAAUCCCUGGGUCAGGAAGAUCCCCUGGAGAAGGAAAUGGCAACCCACUCUAGUAUUCUUGCCUGAAAAAUUUCAUGGACAGAGGAGCCUGGCAAACUACAGUCCGUGGGGUCUCAGAGUUGGACGCGACUGAGCAACUGAACACAAUGAUUGUAAUAUGAUGCAUCAGUCAUUUGAAAAAUGUUGGCUCACUGGAUUGAUUACACAGAUCUUUUAAGCACUGACAUAUUUCAUCAUAUAAUCCCCGAAAAACCUCCUUCAUUCAUACAACCACUAAUGUCACAAUACUUAAAAAUCUUGGAGGGUUAGAAAACUGAAAAGCUUACAGUGGGAAAGACACGUUUUCCAUUAUUCUAAUUUUCACUUGAAAAGUUGACUUUUGUUAUUGGCAGAAAUAAUUUCAGUUGAAGUAUUUUUCCUUGAAGUGGAAACCUCUUUUGGUCUUUGAGAAAAUAUCUGCGAAAUCCAUAAGCCUGAUUAGCUAUGGUUAGUCUCUCAGUCACAUCCCAUAAAAUAAACUGUUAGUUGGGCUUGUAACCCACAGAAUUUUUUUUUUUUUGGACUGUGUCACAUGCAGGAUUUUAGUUUCCCAGUAAGAGAUCAAAGCUGGCCCCUUGCAGUGGAAAUGUGAAGUCUUAACCACUGGACCACCAGGGAAGCCCCCAUGUUUGCAGCUCAAACAGCCACCAGGCAACCAUUGUGCCCCAGUAGCCACUGAAGUGCUUUUCACCUACUUCCAGUGUCACCAUCAAAACAUUGAAAGACAUGUUAAGGGUCAAGAUUCAACAAAAGUAGUGGGUUUUAUGGCUUCCUCAAGGGCAUUUUUAGUGAAAAUAGCAUUUUUAAAUUUUAGGGGUUUUUUGGUUUUGUUUUUUGCUGCACGUGCCCUCUAUUGAACACAAUGGCUGAUAGAAUAGAUUUGACCCACUGGAUUUAUACUAAAGGGCCAGCUGUUCUACUCACUAAGGCUUUUUUGCACCUUCAGAGCAAAUGUCAGCACUGAAAAUGGAAAAUAACAUCUCAGUGUUAUUAGGAAAAUAGUUUGAGCUGAAAUUUCUUGGGGACCACCAGGAGUUUGCAGGCCACACUUUGAGUCACUGUCCUAAACAGUUACAGAGUCAUAGGUCACUGGAUAUGUGAGGAACCCCAAAUAGAAUCACAGCUUUAGAAGAGAUUUUAGAAGAGAUCAUUCAGCAAAAUGAUCUCCAUGUUGUCCCACAUUUUCAAAUAGUAUGGUGUUCUCCAAACUAUAAAUAUGUAAUACAUCUCCCAUUUUACAAUACUAUAGAUGAGUAUUUGCAAUCAGCUAUUUUUCACCCAAUGCAUUCUACCCUAUAUAUAAAUCAAAUUUAAUCCCAUCACUUUUGAUUCUGUUUUCAGUAGAGAUGGAGGUUGGUUAGACCACUUUGCAUAAGAUUCCUAUUUGUAAAAGCAUGUGAAGUUGGUUCUCCCUGCCUUCUGCAUGUGUUUAAUCAUAAUCCUUACAGGUUUGCUUUGACAACCACUUUUAUCCCC